rnacentral:rRNA from 1 species
GGGUCUUGGGAUAUUUGGGGUUAAGCAUCCUUGAGUGUGAAUAGUACUAGGCUGGGUGACCUCCCGGGAAAUCCAAACUCAGGAACUU